CGCAGGGUGGAGCAGUCUGGUAGCUUGUCAGGCUCAUAACCUGAAGGUCGUUGGUUCAAAUCCAACCCCUGCACCCA
rnacentral:tRNA from 1 species